ACAGUGGACGCGAGCAUCUUUGUUGUAAGUGUUUAAGAGCGUACGGUGGAUGCCUUGGCACCAGGAGCCGAUGAAGGACGUAGGAGGCUGCGAUAAGCCUCGGGGAGCUGUCAACCGAGCUGAGAUCCGAGGAUGUCCGAAUGGGGAAACCCAGCCACAGUGAUGUGUGGUUACCCGCGCCUGAAUAUAUAGGGCGUGUGGAGGGAACGUGGGGAAGUGAAACAUCUCAGUACCCACAGGAAGAGAAAACAACAUGUGAUUCCGUGAGUAGUGGCGAGCGAAAGCGGAAGAGGCUAAACCAUGGGUGUGUGAUAGCCGGCGGGCGUUGCAUUCGUGGGGUUGUGGGAUCCGUCUUGUCAAUUCUGCCGGAUUGGCCGACAGUGAGAAAUCAUCGUGUUAGUCGAAGUGGUCUGGAACGGCCUGUCGUAGAGGGUGAGAGUCCCGUAGACGAAAACAUGGUGACUGUCGUGACGGACACCCGAGUAGCAGCGGGCCCGUGAAAUCUGCUGUGAAUCUGUCGGGACCACCCGAUAAGCCUGAAUACUCCCUGGUGACCGAUAGCGGACUAGUACCGUGAGGGAAAGGUGAAAAGUACCCCGGGAGGGGAGUGAAAUAGUACCUGAAACCGUGCGCUUACAAUCCGUCAGAGCCUGCGCCACUUUUGGUGGGUGGGUGAUGGCGUGCCUUUUGAAGAAUGAGCCUGCGAGUUAGCGGCAUGUCGCGAGGUUAACCCGUGUGGGGUAGCCGUAGCGAAAGCGAGUCCGAAUAGGGCGUUUGUAGUGGCAUGUUCUAGACCCGAAGCGGAGUGAUCUACCCAUGGCCAGGGUGAAGCGACGGUAAGACGUCGUGGAGGCCCGAACCCACUUAGGUUGAAAACUGAGGGGAUGAGCUGUGGGUAGGGGUGAAAGGCCAAUCAAACUCCGUGAUAGCUGGUUCUCCCCGAAAUGCAUUUAGGUGCAGCGUCGCGUGUUUCACUCUGGAGGUAGAGCUACUGGAUGGCCGAUGGGCCCCACAAGGUUACUGACGUCAGCCAAACUCCGAAUGCCAGAGUGUGAGAGCGCGGCAGUGAGACUGCGGGGGAUAAGCUUCGUAGUCGAGAGGGAAACAGCCCAGAUCGCCGGCUAAGGCCCCUAAGCGUGUACUAAGUGGAAAAGGAUGUGGGGUCGCGAAGACAACCAGGAGGUUGGCUUAGAAGCAGCCACCCUUGAAAGAGUGCGUAAUAGCUCACUGGUCAAGUGAUCCUGCGCCGACAAUGUAGCGGGGCUCAAGUACACCGCCGAAGCCGCGGCAUUCACAUAACACCCAUGCGGGUCUACGGGCCUGUGUGCAGUGGUGUGGAUGGGUAGGGGAGCGUCGUGCAGCCAUGGAAGCGCCGGAGUGAUCCAGGUGUGGAGGCUGCACGAGUGAGAAUGCAGGCAUGAGUAGCGAAAGACGAGUGAGAAACUCGUCCGCCGAAUGACCAAGGGUUCCUGGGCCAGGUUAAUCCGCCCAGGGUGAGUCGGGACCUAAGGCGAGGCCGACAGGCGUAGUCGAUGGACAACGGGUUGAUAUUCCCGUACCCGUGUGAACGCGCCCCUGGUGAAUCAGUGAUGCUAAGCGCCCUGAAGCCGCCUUCGAACCUUCGGGUUCUCCGGUGUGUGGAUGCGCGUGAACCGAUCUGGUAGUAGCCAAGCGAUGGGGUGACGCAGGAAGGUAGCUGAGCCAGUCAGUGGUAAUACUGGUGUAAGCGUGUAGGGCGUGACCUAGGCAAAUCCGGGUCACACACAGCCUGAGACGUGAUGCGUAGCCGAUUGAGGCGAAUUCAGUGAUCCUAUGCUGCCGAGAAAAGCCUCUAGCGAGCUUUCACACGGCCCGUACCCCAAACCGACACAGGUGGUCAGGUAGAGAAUACUAAGGCGAUCGAGAUAACUGUGGUUAAGGAACUCGGCAAAAUGCCCCCGUAACUUCGGGAGAAGGGGGGCCUCGUCUGGUGACGGAACUUGCUUCCUGAGCUGGGUGGGGCCGCAGAGACCAGAGAGAAGCGACUGUUUACUAAAAACACAGGUCCGUGCGAAGUCGUAAGACGAUGUAUACGGACUGACGCCUGCCCGGUGCUGGAAGGUUAAGAGGACCGGUUAGCCAGUAAUGGGCGAAGCUGAGAAUUUAAGCCCCAGUAAACGGCGGUGGUAACUAUAACCAUCCUAGGGUAGCGAAAUUCCUUGUCGGGUAAGUUCCGACCUGCACG
rnacentral:rRNA from 1 species